GGCCUUUUGAUUAUAAUUUAAGGUCUAACCUGCCCACUGAAAAUUUAAAUGGUCGCGUAAUAUUAAUCGUGCUAAGGUAGCAUAAUCAUUAGUUUUUUAAUUGAAAACUUGUAUGAAGGGUUGAAUAAGAAAAUAACUGUCUCAGUUUUAUUUUAUUAGAAUUUUAUUUUUAAGUUAAAAAGCUUAAAUUUAAUUAAAAGACGAGAAGACCCUAUAGAGUUUAAUAAAUUAAUUUUUUAAUAAAUAAUAGAAUUAUAAAUUUUAAUAAAUAAAUUUAUUUUAUUGGGGUGAUAAAAAAAUUAAAUAAACUUUUUUAUUUUUAUACAUUAAUUUAUGAGUAAAUGAUCUUUAAUUUAUGAUUAUAAGAUAAAAUUACCUUAGGGAUAACAGCGUAAUUUUUUUAAAGAGUUCAAAUCGAAAAAAAAGAUUGCGACCUCGAUGUUGGAUUAAAAAUAAUAUUUGGUGGAGAAGCUAAAUAAUUAGGUCUGUUCGACCUUUAAAUUUUUACA
rnacentral:rRNA from 1 species